rnacentral:rRNA from 1 species
UUAGAGUUUGAUCAUGGCUCAGGAUGAACGCUAGCGGCAGGCCUAACACAUGCCAGUCGAGGGGGUAACAGGGAGAGCUUGCUCUUGCUGACGACCGGCGCACGGGUGCGUAACGCGUAUACAAUCUACCUUAUACUGGAGAAUAGCCCAGAGAAAUUUGGAUUAAUGCUCCAUAGUAUGUCGAGUCCGCAUGGGCAUGACAUUAAAGGUUACGGUAUAAGAUGAGUAUGCGUUCUAUUAGCUAGAUGGUGUGGUAACGGCACACCAUGGCAACGAUAGAUAGGGGCCCUGAGAGGGGGAUCCCCCACACUGGUACUGAGACACGGACCAGACUCCUACGGGAGGCAGCAGUGAGGAAUAUUGGACAAUGGAGGCAACUCUGAUCCAGCCAUGCCGCGUGCAGGAAGACUGCCCUAUGGGUUGUAAACUGCUUUUAUACAGGAAGAAACCGCUCUACGUGUAGAGCUCUGACGGUACUGUAAGAAUAAGGAUCGGCUAACUCCGUGCCAGCAGCCGCGGUAAUACGGAGGAUCCAAGCGUUAUCCGGAAUCAUUGGGUUUAAAGGGUCCGUAGGUUGAUAAUUAAGUCAGAGGUGAAAGUUUGCAGCUCAACUGUAAAAUUGCCUUUGAUACUGGUUAUCUUGAGUUAUUAUGAAGUAGUUAGAAUAUGUAGUGUAGCGGUGAAAUGCAUAGAUAUUACAUAGAAUACCAAUUGCGAAGGCAGAUUACUAAUAAUCAACUGACACUGAUGGACGAAAGCGUGGGGAGCGAACAGGAUUAGAUACCCUGGUAGUCCACGCCGUAAACGAUGGAUACUAGCUGUUCGGAUUUCGGUCUGAGUGGCUAAGCGAAAGUGAUAAGUAUCCCACCUGGGGAGUACGUUCGCAAGA